AUGCCAGCACAUCAUACCCCAGGAGGAGUGAUCCUUAGAUACUGAAUCCCUGUGAAAAUCCUCCUCCUUGUCUCCAGCCUGCCUUGACUCCCAGUAUCUGGUUUUUGUCAGUCUCUAACUCCCUGUCUCUUGGCCUUGAUGUGAGGCCUCCCAUCCUGAUAAUAAAGGUUACUGAUGCAUGGCUUUAGGACCAUGCUGUGUAAUUAACAUACUGGUAUAGCACGAGGAAUGCACCAAGCAGGGAUAGGUGGUAGAUAAGACAAGGGUUUGUUUAUUGGCUAAGGUUUCCGAUGCACGAGGGCAACAUGCUUUGCUAAAAAGUAUAUAACCUUUGUAUAAUCUGUAUUCAGGGUCCCCUCCUGGCUAGCAGGGGGGCACCACGCUCGAGCGUAAUAAACUUAGUGUCUUUUGGGAACUCUGCAGUUGUGGACUUUGUUUAUGUGCCUCAGCCUAGAUUCGAACUGUGCGUGACCUCCCAGGUGUAAUUCGCAGCAUUGGUGUGCGUGUCCUCCCAGGUGUAAUUUGCAGCAUUGGUGUGCGUGUCCUCCCAGGUGUAAUUCGCAGCAUUGGUGUGCGUGUCCUCCCAGGUGUAAUUCACAGCAUUGGUGUGCGUGUCCUCCCAGGUGUAAUUCGCAGCAUUGGUGUGCGUGUCCUCCCAGGUGUAAUUCGCAGCAUUGGUGUGCGUGUCCUCCCAGGUGUAAUUCGCAGCAUUGGUGUGCGUGUCCUCCCAGGUGUAAUUCGCAGCAUUGGUGUGGGUGUCCUCCCAGGUGUAAUUCGCAGCAUUGGUGUGGGUGUCCUCCCAGGUGUAAUUCGCAGCAUUGGUGUGCGUGUCCUCCCAGGUGUAAUUCGCAGCAUUGGUGUGCGUGUCCUCCCAGGUGUAAUUCGUAACAGUUUUGGCGACCACGAAGGGACUCUAGGCUCACCCCAACAAGCGAGACUACAUUCCUCCUCUCGGACAGCUCCAGCCGGCACAGGGUGAGUUCACCUUUGAGAACUCCGAGGAGGGGGGCUGUGAGCCGUCGCUUAGGCGAUAAGGUGGCACAUUUGGUGUCCUUUUGGUAGCCCACUGUGGGUUCUGGGCAGAGUGUAAGUAAGGGGACCCCUUUGGCUGAAAUUCUCGAGAAUUGGGGGAAUAUUUCUGGCACCCCUGGGUUAGGUAAAAAAAAAGCUGUAAUCUUGUGCAAGGUUGAGUGGCCAGCACUAACAACUCAAACACCUUUUGACUGGCCACCGGAUGGUUCCUUUGCUGGGGAAAAAUUAAGAGUGCUUAGGAAAAGGCUGGAAAACAAAGCUCCAGCCCAGAUGGAUUAUUGAUAUGUAUGGGACAACUGGGCUUAUGCGCAUGCGAAAGGACGUCCUCUUUCCAACUCCUUUUCUUAUUCAUCUCAGGGGUCUCCAACCCCGCUCUGUGCUAUGCCUACUUCUGCCCCUCCUCCGGCUUACCCGGCUUUCUGACUUAUGCCCGUCACCUCCUUGCUUGCCAAUUAGCCGUGCUUUCUGUCCAGGUGACAAGCCUCAUGCGGGGAGGACUCGGGUAGCCCUUGUAAGUGAAAAUAUUUAAGAAAAGAGACCAAGAGGGCUGGGGGCUAGUUAAGAAGCCCACCCUCCUUGUUAAUUUGGUAGUGAAACAAAGCUGGUGCUCAUGGAAGGGACAGUUCAGAGAAAAAAAACAGGAUCGGGCCCAAGCGGGCAGGCAACAGAUAGAGAGAUUGGAAAACAGGUUGGAAACUUGGAGGUCAUAGUGAAAAAAGAGGAGUAAAUAAUUACAGGAAUGGAAAACGUAAAUCCCGGAAUAAUACUUGGAAUGGUAAAAUCUAAGUUAAUUGGGUGUCGUUUUGGGAAAUAAGCAAGUGAUUUAAGAAAGGAAAGUAAGAAGUUAACUCUUUAGUUGCUGGAAAGAAUUAAGCAGUUGAACUUUGUGAAAUACUGGAAAGAAAAAGAAUUCUUGGUUUCUUUGCAGCCAUUUUGGAAAAAAAUGGGCCCUUUUCCAAAGAAAGGCAAUUAUACAGUGCUACUUAAUUAAUAUCUUAUUAGGCUCCAAGGGGCUACAAUAGGUGGUGUCUUCCUUUUCAGGUCGCUGUGUGUUUGACUGCAGGAGUUAAAAGUAAAAGGCAAUCAAAAGUCUGGUAAAGUUUAUUGUGCCCUUUUUAAAGUAAGAAUCUUUAACCUGUGGAUCCAAAAGCAAGCCGGAAAGCAUUUGUUUUAAUGUAAAUUACCUAACUGAUAAGGUAGAGGCCACUGAAACCUGGGCUGCCUAUAAAACAAAUACAAGAAAAUAUGGGUAAUUCCUCUGUUUUGCCUGCAAUUAACAAAGGUAUUUGUAUAAAAAGGAAAUAUUUUAAGCAAUGACUGACUGCCCAAAAGGGGUAGAUCUGUGUUUUUUUUUU